rnacentral:rRNA from 1 species
UAGGGAAUCUUCCGCAAUGGGCGAAAGCCUGACGGAGCAACGCCGCGUGAGUGAUGAAGGUCUUCGGAUCGUAAAACUCUGUUAUUAGGGAAGAACAAAUGUGUAAGUAACUAUGCACGUCUUGACGGUACCUAAUCAGAAAGCCACGGCUAACUACGUGCCAGCAGCCGCGGUAAUACGUAGGUGGCAAGCGUUAUCCGGAAUUAUUUGGCGUAAAGCGCGCGUAGGCGGUUUUUUAAGUCUGAUGUGAAAGCCCACGGCUAAACCGUGGAGGGUCAUUGGAAACUGGAAAACUUGAGUGCAGAAGAGGAAAGUGGAAUUCCAUGUGUAGCGGUGAAAUGCGAAGAGUUAUGGAGGAACACCAGUGGCGAAGGCGACUUCCUGGUCUGUAACUGACGCUGAUGUGCGAAAGCGGGGGGAUCAAACAGG